rnacentral:lncRNA from 1 species
CUGCCUCCUUCUGUGCCUGCCUGGCUGCCCCUACCCUGGGGCUCCCUCCUAGCCCCCACCUCACCUACUGGCUCACUGAGACAGAGCCAAACAUGAAAGGGAAGGUGACGGCCUGGCCAUAGGGCCCAGGAAAAUGCAGGUAUCAUUAACAGCCUGGAGCACUGUGGCCUGUCCACUCUCAACCCUCUGCUGCCCACCCCUUCCUGGAAUAGACCCCAGGCCACAUACAGAGGGGGCAAGCCCAAGAUGCUGACGAUACGACAGUGAAUACAACAUGAAAAAACAAGCACACUUCUCACCCCUAUGGAGCUUUAUUCUGGUCAGGCAGAAGGAGAAGGAAAUGUAAACAUGCAAGGUCAGGUACUGCUGUGAAGCAAAAUAAAGCUGUGGGUACUGUGCGAAGGAUAGGCUGUGUGUGUGUGUGUCUGUGUGCGUGUGUGUGUGUGUGUUGUGCAUAUUAAGUCAAAAAAUGAAUCUGGAUGAUCCUGGGCCAGGUCUGACCCCAGCAUUGCCACUGACUGUAUAAUCUCAAGCAAGUCAUGCCUCCCCUCUGGGCCUCACUUUCCUCAUCUGUAAAGUGAGACCGUGGACUGAAAGGCCAUUGUG